rnacentral:rRNA from 1 species
GUGAACGCUGGCGGUAGGCCUAACACAUGCCAGUCGCACGGCAGCACAGUAAGAGCUUGCUCUUACGGGUGGCGAGUGGCGGACGGGUGAGGAAUACAUCGGAAUCUACUUUUUCGUGGGGGAUAACGUAGGGAAACUUACGCUAAUACCGCAUACGACCUACGGGUGAAAGCAGGGGAUCUUCGGACCUUGCGCGAUUGAAUGAGCCGAUGUCGGAUUAGCUAGUUGGCGGGGUAAAGGCCCACCAAGGCGACGAUCCGUAGCUGGUCUGAGAGGAUGAUCAGCCACACUGGAACUGAGACACGGUCCAGACUCCUACGGGAGGCAGCAGUGGGGAAUAUUGGACAAUGGGCGCAAGCCUGAUCCAGCUAUACCGCGUGGGUGAAGAAGGCCUUCGGGUUGUAAAGCCCUUUUGUUGGGAAAGAAAAGCAGCAGGUUAAUACCCCGCUGUUCUGACGGUACCCAAAGAAUAAGCACCGGCUAACUUCGUG